rnacentral:rRNA from 1 species
CAAUAGCGUAUAUUAAAGUUGUUGCAGUUAAAAAGCUCGUAGUUGGAUUUCUGGUGGGAGCGAUCGGUCUGGCGCUUAGCGCGAGUACCUGCAUCGUCUCCGGCCAUCCUUGGGGAGAGUCUGUCUGGCAUUAGGUUGUCGGGCAGAGGAUCCUCAUCGUUUACUGUGAAAAAAUUAGAGUGUUCAAAGCAGGCUUAUGCCGUUGAAUAUAUUAGCAUGGAAUAAUAAGAUAGGACUUUGGUACUAUUUUGUUGGCUUGCGCACCAAAGUAAUGAUUAAUAGGGACAGUUGGGGGUAUACGUAUUCCGUUGUCAGAGGUGAAAUUCUUGGAUUUACGGAAGACGAACUACUGCGAAAGCGUCUGCCAAGGAUGUUUUCAUUGA